GGCUUGUAGCCCAGUGGUUAGAGCCCCUGCUUUGCAUGCAGGAGGUUCCAGGUUCGAUCCCUGGCAUCUCCA